rnacentral:rRNA from 1 species
CCAAUAGCGUAUAUUAAAGUUGUUGCAGUUAAAAAGCUCGUAGUUGAAUUUCGGGAUUGACGUGACGGUCGUGCCUUAAGGGGUAUGAACUGUCGCCGUUGAUUUCUCACCUUCUGGAGAAGCUCGAUGUCCUUAAUUGGAUGUCUUGUGGAACCAGGACCUUUACCUUGAAAAAAUUAGAGUGUUUAAAGCAGGCAUUUUGCUCGAAUACAUUAGCAUGGAAUAAUAGAAUAGGACGGCAUGGUUCUAUUUUGUUGGUUUCUAGGAUCACCGUAAUGAUUAAUAGGGAUAGUUGGGGGCAUUAGUAUUCAAUUGCCAGAGGUGAAAUUCUUGGAUUUAUUGAAGACUAACUACUGCGAAAGCAUUUGCCAAGGAUGUUUUCAUUAAUCAAGAACGAAAGUUAGGGGAUCGAAGACGAUCAGAUACCGUCGUAGUCUUAACCAUAAACUAUGCCGACUAGGAAUCAGACGAUGUUAAUUUUUUAAUGACUCGUUUGGCACCUUACG